rnacentral:rRNA from 1 species
UACGUAGGGGGCAAGCGUUGUCCGGAUUUAUUGGGCGUAAAGAGCGUGUAGGCGGCUUGACAGGUCUGCUGUGAAAACUCGAGGCUCAACCUCGAGACGUCGGCGGAAACCGUCUGGCUAGAGUCCGGAAGAGGAGAGUGGAAUUCCGUGGUGUAGCGGUGAAAUGCGCAGAUAUCAGGAAGAACACCUAUGGCGAAGGCAGCUCUCUGGGGACGGUACUGACGCUCAUGCACGAAAGCGUGGGGGAGCGAACAGG